rnacentral:rRNA from 1 species
CCUACGGGAGGCAGCAGUGAGGAAUAUUGGUCAAUGGACGCAAGUCUGAACCAGCCAUGCCGCGUGCAGGAAGACGGCUCUAUGAGUUGUAAACUGCUGUUGUACGAGGGUAAACGCGGAUACGCGUAUCUGUCUGAAAGUAUCGUACGAAUAAGGAUCGGCUAACUCCGUGCCAGCAGCCGCGGUAAUACGGAGGAUUCAAGCGUUAUCCGGAUUUAUUGGGUUUAAAGGGUGCGUAGGCGGUCGGAUAAGUUAGAGGUGAAAUCCCGAGGCUCAACUUCGGAAUUGCCUCUGAUACUGUUCGGCUAGAGAGUAGUUGCGGUAGGCGGAAUGUAUGGUGUAGCGGGGAAAUGCUUAGAGAUCAUACAGAACACCGAUUGCGAAGGCAGCUUACCAAGCUACUUCUGACGUUGAGGCACGAAAGCGUGGGGAGCAAACAGGAUUAGAUACCCCAGUAGUC